GUGGGGAAUAUUGCACAAUGGGGGAAACCCUGAUGCAGCAACGCCGCGUGAGUGAUGACGGCCUUCGGGUUGUAAAACUCUGUCUUUGGGGACGAUAAUGACGGUACCCAAGGAGGAAGCCACGGCUAACUACGUGCCAGCAGCCGCGGUAAUACGUAGGUGGCAAGCGUUGUCCGGAUUUACUGGGCGUAAAGGGAGCGUAGGUGGAUAUUUAAGUGGGAUGUGAAAUACUCGGGCUUAACCUGGGUGCUGCAUUCCAAACUGGAUAUCUAGAGUGCAGGAGAGGAAAGGAGAAUUCCUAGUGUAGCGGUGAAAUGCGUAGAGAUUAGGAAGAAUACCAGUGGCGAAGGCGCCUUUCUGGACUGUAACUGACACUGAGGCUCGAAAGCGUGGGGAGCAAACAGGAUUAGAAACCCCAGUAGUCC
rnacentral:rRNA from 1 species